rnacentral:rRNA from 1 species
AUUGAACGCUGGCGGCAUGCUUUACACAUGCAAGUCGAACGGUAACAGGGUGCUUGCACCGCUGACGAGUGGCGAACGGGUGAGUAAUGCGUCGGAACGUGCCGAGUAGUGGGGGAUAACGCAGCGAAAGUUGUGCUAAUACCGCAUACGUACUGAGGUGGAAAGUGGGGGACCUUCGGGCCUCACGCUAUUCGAGCGGCCGACGUCUGAUUAGCUAGUAGGUGAGGUAAAGGCUCACCUAGGCGACGAUCAAUAGCGGGUCUGAGAGGAUGAUCCGCCACACUGGGACUGAGACACGGCCCAGACUCCUACGGGAGGCAGCAGUGGGGAAUUUUGGACAAUGGGCGAAAGCCUGAUCCAGCCAUGCCGCGUGUCUGAAGAAGGCCUUCGGGUUGUAAAGGACUUUUGUCAGGGAGGAAAUCCCUAGCGUUAAUACCGCUGGGGGAUGACGGUACCGUAAGAAUAAGCACCGGCUAACUACGUGCCAGCCGCCGCGGUAAAAC